UAGUCCACGCCGUAAACGAUGGUCACUAGCUGUCCGGAUUUCGAUCUGGGCGGCCAAGCGAAAGUGAUAAGUGACCCACCUGGGGAGUACGUCGGCAACGAUGAAACUCAAAGGAAUUGACGGGGGCCCGCACAAGCGGUGGAGCAUGUGGUUUAAUUCGAUGAUACGCGAGGAACCUUACCAGGGCUUAAAUGCAGUCUGACAGCUUUAGAGAUAGAGUUUUCUUCGGACAGAUUGCAAGGUGCUGCAUGGUUGUCGUUAGCUCGUGCCGUGAGGUGUCAGGUUAAGUCCUAUAACGAGCGCAACCCCUGUUGUUAGUUGCCAGCGAGUCAUGUCGGGAACUCUAGCAAGACUGCCGGUGCAAACCGUGAGGAAGGUGGGGACGACGUCAAAUCAUCACGGCCCUCACGUCCUGGGCUACACACGUGCUACAAUGGCAGGUACAGAGGGUAGCCACUGCGCAAGCAGGAGCGGAAUCCCAAAAGCCUAGUCUCAGUUCGGAUC
rnacentral:rRNA from 1 species